GACGAACGCUGGCGGCGUGCUUAACACAUGCAAGUCGAACGGAAAGGCCCUGCUUUUGUGGGGUGCUCGAGUGGCGAACGGGUGAGUAACACGUGAGUAACCUGCCCUUGACUUUGGGAUAACUUCAGGAAACUGGGGCUAAUACCGGAUAGGAGCUCCUGCUGCAUGGUGGGGGUUGGAAAGUUUCGGCGGUUGGGGAUGGACUCGCGGCUUAUCAGCUUGUUGGUGGAGUAGUGGCUUACCAAGGCUUUGACGGGUAGCCGGCCUGAGAGGGUGACCGGCCACAUUGGGACUGAGAUACGGACCAGACUCCUACGGGAGGCAGCAGGGGGGAAUAUUGCACAAUGGGCGGAAGCCUGAUGCAGCAACGCCGCGUGCGGGAUGACGGCCUUCGGGUUGUAAACCGCUUUCGCCUGUGACGAAGCGUGAGUGACGGUAAUGGGUAAAGAAGCACCGGCUAACUACGUG
rnacentral:rRNA from 1 species